CGAACGGGGUCGCAAGACCCAGUGGCGGACGGGUGAGUAACGCGUAGGCAAUCUGCCCCCCAGUGGGGGACACCCAGCCGAAAGGUUGGCUAAUACCGCAUACGCUGGUCGGUUGAAAUACCGGUCAGGAAAGGUUUACUGCUGAGGGAUGAGCCUGCGUCCGAUUAGCUAGUUGGUAGGGUAACGGCCUACCAAGGCGACGAUCGGUAGCUGGUCUGAGAGGACGAUCAGCCACGCUGGAACUGAGACACGGUCCAGACUCCUACGGGAGGCAGCAGUGGGGAAUUUUCCGCAAUGGGCGCAAGCCUGACGGAGCAACGCCGCGUGGGUGACGAAGGAUUUCGGUCUGUAAAGCCCUUUCAGUCGGGACGAGUCGCAGACGGUACCGACAGAAGAAGCAUCGGCUAACUACGUGCCAGCAGCCGCGGUAAGACGUAGGAUGCGAGCGUUGUCCGGAAUUAUUGGGCGUAAAGCGUACGUAGGCGGUCAUCUAAGUCUGGGGUUAAAGACCAAGGCUCAACCUUGGGAGUGCCCUGGAUACUGGGUGACUGGAGGACGGCAGAGGAAAGUGGAAUUCCCAGUGUAGCGGUGAAAUGCGUAGAUAUUGGGAGGAACACCAGUGGCGAAAGCGACUUUCUGGGCCGUUCCUGACGCUGAGGUACGAAAGCCAGGGGAGCAAACGGGAUUAGAUACCCCGGUA
rnacentral:rRNA from 1 species